ACGAACGCUGGCGGCGUGCUUAACACAUGCAAGUCGAACGGAAAGGCCCUGCUUUUGUGGGGUGCUCGAGUGGCGAACGGGUGAGUAACACGUGAGUAACCUGCCCUUGACUUUGGGAUAACUUCAGGAAACUGGGGCUAAUACCGGAUAGGAGCUCCUGCUGCAUGGUGGGGGUUGGAAAGUUUCGGCGGUUGGGGAUGGACUCGCGGCUUAUCAGCUUGUUGGUGGGGUAGUGGCUUACCAAGGCUUUGACGGGUAGCCGGCCUGAGAGGGUGACCGGCCAAAUUGGGACUGAGAUACGGCCCAGACUCCUACGGGAGGCAGCAGUGGGGAAUAUUGCACAAUGGGCGGAAGCCUGAUGCAGCAACGCCGCGUGCGGGAUGACGGCCUUCGGGUUGUAAACCGCUUUCGCCUGUGACGAAGCGUGAGUGACGGUAAUGGGUAAAGAAGCACCGGCUAACUACGUG
rnacentral:rRNA from 1 species